rnacentral:rRNA from 1 species
UCAAGUUAAGAAAGGGCGUACGGUGGAUGCCUUGGCGUCAAGUGGCGAUGAAGGACGUGGCCAACUGCGAUAAGCUUCGGGUAGCUGUAAGCGAGCGUUGAUCCGGAGAUCUCCGAAUGGGGCAACCCGCUGGAGUCACCCUCCAGCAUCCUCUUCACUGAGGAAGCAAACCAGGGGAACUGAAACAUCUCAGUACCCUGAGGAACAGAAAACAACCGUGAUUCCCGAAGUAGCGGCGAGCGAACCGGGAACAGCCUAAACCGUAUCCGUGCCAAGCCCGGAAGCGUUGCGGAUACGGGGUCGUGGGACCCAACUGUGGUGGUGUCCGGCACCACCCAGGAGUUACCAAAUACCCGGGUAGUCGAAGAGGCCUGGAAAGCCUCGCCAAAGACGGUGAAAGCCCGGUAGACCAAACCUGAGGUAUCUCUUGAAGUUGGAAUCCCAAGUACUGCGGUCCACGUGGAAUUCCGUGGGAAUCUGGGGGGACCACCCCCUAAGGCUAAAUACUCCUUGACGACCGAUAGUGAACCAGUACCGUGAGGGAAAGGCGAAAAGAACCCCGGGAGGGGAGUGAAAGAGAACCUGAAACCGUAUGCCUACAAAACGUAGAAGGGCGAUGAUCCGGACCUAGUCCGUAUCCGCCUGACUGCGUGCCUUUUGGAGAAUGAGCCGGCGAGUUACGGUGAUUGGCGAGGUUAAGUGGGUUCCCCACGAAGCCACAGGGAAACCGAGUCUGAAGAGGGCGCAUCAGUCAAUCACUGUAGACCCGAAGCCAGGUGAUCUAUCCAUGGCCAGGAUGAAGCGGGGCUAAACCCCCGUGGAGGUCCGAACCAGUGUAGGUUAAAAACUGCUUGGAUGAGCUGUGGAUAGGGGUGAAAGGCCAAUCAAACCUGGAGAUAGCUGGUUCUCCCCGAAAUAGCUUGAGGGCUAGCCUCAGGCAAAAGGAGAGGGGGUAGAGCACUGGAUGGGCUAGGGGGCUUACCCGCCUACCAAACCCAACCAAACUCCGAAUACCUCUCCUCAACGCCUGGGAGUCAGACAGCGGGGUAUAAGCUUCGUUGUCGAAAGGAAAACAGUCCAGACCGCCAGCUAAGGCCCCCAAACGCAGACUAAGUGGGAAAGGUGGUGACACUGCCGUAACAGCCAGGAGGUUGGCUUAGAAGCAGCCAUCCUUUAAAAAGUGCGUAAUAGCUCACUGGUCGAGCGGUGUUGCGCCGAAACAUGUACGGGGCUCAAGUCUGCUGCCGAAGCUGCGGAAUCAGCGUUUGCUGGUUGGUAGGGGAGCGUUGGGUAAGCCGUCGAAGUGGGAUCGUAAGGACCCAUGGAGGUAUCCCAAGUGAGAAUGCCGGCAUGAGUAGCGAGAAGAGAGGUGAGAAUCCUCUCCGCCGUAAACCUAAGGUUUCCUGAGGAAGGCUCGUCCUCUCAGGGUUAGUCGGAUCCUUAGCCGAGGCCGCAAGGCGUAGGUGAUGGGCAGCCGGUCCACAUUCCGGCACUACCGCCAAUCGUUUGUAGCGAUGGGGGGACACAGAAGGGUAGGCCAGCAGCGUGAAGGACGUCGCUGUCUAAGCCGGUAGGCGGAGGAAGGAGGCAAAUCCCUUUCCUCAAAGAACGCCGAGAGGUGACGGGGAGCUCCUACGGGAGCGAACUGGUUGAGCCCAUGCUGUCAAGAAAAGCCUCUAGUGAGAAAGGCGGUAUCCGUACCGCAAACCGACACAGGUAGGUGGGAAGAGUAUUCCAAGGCGCGCGAGUGAUCCCCCGUUAAGGAACUCGGCAAUCUAACCCCGUACCUUCGGAAGAAGGGGUGCCCCAUACCGGUUGAGAGGUUCGCCCUCAAAAGCUGGCAGGGGCCACAGAGAAAUGGCUCUGGCGACUGUUUAAUAAAAACACAGGACUCUGCUAAGCCGCAAGGCGAUGUAUAGGGUCUGACGCCUGCCCAGUGCCGGAAGGUUAAGGGGAGGGGUCAGCUUGGAAAGCGAUUUUCAGGCGAAGCUCUGAACCGAAGCCCCGGUAAACGGCGGCCGUAACUAUAACGGUCCUAAGGUAGCGAAAUUCCUUGUCGGGUAAGUUCCGACCCGCAUGAACGGCGCAACGACUGGAGCGCUGUCUCAACGGGGAGCUCGGCGAAGUUUCAUUACAAGUGCAGAUGCUUGUUACCCGCGACUAGACGGAAAGACCCCGUGAACCUUUACUGUAACCUGAUAUUGAAUCCGGAUAUACCCUGUGCAGGAUAGGUGGGAGGCGGUGAACCGGGAGCGCUAGCUUCCGGGGAGCCAUCCUUGAGAUACCACCCUUGGCCUAUCCAGGUUCUAACCCGCUUUGGUGAAUCCCAAAGGGGAACAGUGUCAGGCGGGCAGUUUGACUGGGGCGGUCGCCUCCUAAAAUGUAACGGAGGCGCCCUAAGGUUCCCUCAGCACGUUUGGAAAUCGUGCGUCGAGUGUAAGGGCAGAAGGGAGCCUGACUGCGAGAGGGACACUUCAAGCAGAGACGAAAGUCGGGCCUAGUGAUCCGGUGGUUCUGAGUGGAAGGGCCAUCGCUCAUCGGAUAAAAGGUACUCUGGGGAUAACAGGCUGGUCUCUCCCAAGAGUCCACAUCGACGAGGAGGAUCGGCACCUCGAUGUCGGCUCGUCGCAUCCUGGGGCUGAAGUAGGUCCCAAGGGUUGGGCUGUUCGCCCAUUAAAGCGGUACGUGAGCUGGGUUUAGAACGUCGUGAGACAGUUCGGUCCCUAUCUGUCGCGGGCGGAGGAUAUUUGCGGGGAGCUGUCCCUAGUACGAGAGGACCGGGAUGGACGAACCUCCAGUGUUCCAGUUGUCCUGCCAGGGGCAUUGCUGGGUAGCUGUGUUCGGAAGGGAGAAGCGCUGAAAGCAUCUAAGCGCGAAGCCCACCCCAAGAUCAGAUAUCCCACUGGGGAACCAGGUAAGACCCCGGGAAGAUGACCCGGUUGAUAGGCUCCAAGUGUAAGGAUGGUAACAUCUUGAGCUGAGGAGUACUAAUCGGUCGAGGACUUGACCGC